rnacentral:rRNA from 1 species
AGUGAACGCUGGCGGCGCGCUUAACACAUGCAAGUCGAACGAGAACGGAUUAUAGCUUGCUAUAAUUGUCAGCUAGGUGGCGCACGGGUGAGUAAUGUAUAGGUAAUAUGCCUCUUACUAAGGGAUAACAAAUGGAAACGUUUGCUAAUACCUUAUACUCCUUAUUAACCUAAGUUAAUAAGGGAAAGAUUUAUUGGUAAGAGAUUAGCCUGUAUUGUAUCAGUUAGUUGGUGGGAUAAUGGCCUACCAAGACUAUGACACAUAACUGGUUUGAGAGGAUGAUCAGUCACACUGGAACUGAGACACGGUCCAGACUCCUACGGGAGGCAGCAGUGGGGAAUAUUGCACAAUGGACGAAAGUCUGAUGCAGCAACGCCGCGUGGAGGAUGACACAUUUCGGUGCGUAAACUCCUUUUAUAUGAGAAGAUAAUGACGGUAUUAUAUGAAUAAGCACCGGCUAACUCCGUGCCAGCCGCCGCAGUAAGAC